GAAUGGAUUUGGAUUUAUAGCAGCCUUGUCACCCUGGGCCUCUCAUAGUGUCCCAUGCUAGAAGAAAGUGUGGCUCCUAACCACUGCCUGGCCUCUGUGCCUGUAGGCUGUGGGCACUGAAGUUGGUCACACAGUA